rnacentral:tRNA from 1 species
GGCUCUGACGGUAAAGAACCUGCCUGCAGUGCGGGAGACCCAGGUUCGAUCCCUGGGUCA